GUGCUGAAAUAACAUUUUACUUAGAAAAUUUUAGUGGAAAACUUGCUGAACUUAUACCGAUAAUUAAUAGAGAAUGGAUUUCUCCUGAACCGCAUUAAUGUAUUUUAGAUGUUUACAAAAAUCACAAAUCUAAGAAAUUCAAAUUUAAUAAAUUCAACAUAAAUUACAAAAAUGCUUUAUUAAACUGCAUGAAGUUAAUGGAAGAUAAAGUGCAUUUUUUAAAAGAACCUAAUAAUAUAUCAAUGAAUAAUAUGGAUGUAAGCGACUUAAAACGUUACUAUAAUAUCAGUUAUUAUAUUAUAGAUUAUCGAUUGUCUUUAGCACAUAAUUCUACUCUUUUCAAAUAUAUAACUGGAGAUAUAUAUCAAAGCAAAUGUUUUGGAUGUAACAAAUACAGUAGUGGUGAUUCGGGAAUAUACUUUUUUUCACCAUGUGGACAUGGCUGGUCAUGUGAAAGGUGUGU